AACGAACGCUGGCGGCAGGCCUAACACAUGCAAGUCGAGCGGACACUUCGGGGUUAGCGGCGGACGGGUGUGUAACGCGUGGGAAUAUGCCCUUCUCUACGGAAUAGUUCUGGGAAACUGGGGGUAAUACCGUAUACGCCCUUAGGGGGAAUGAUUUAUCGGGGCAGGAUUAGCACGCGUUGGAUUAGGUAGUUGGUGGGGUAAUGGCCUACCAAGCCGACGAUCCAUAGCUGGUUUGAGAGGAUGAUCAGCCACACUGGGACUGAGAAGCGGCCCAGACUCCUACGGGAGGCGGGAGUGGGGGAUCUUAGACAAUGGGGGCAACCCUGAUCGAGCCAGGCCGCGUGAGUGAUGAAGGCCGUAGGGUUGUAAAGCUCUUUCAGCUGUGAAGAUAAUGACGGUACCUGCAGAAGAAGCCCCGGCUAACUCCGUG
rnacentral:rRNA from 1 species